UACGUAGGGGGCAAGCGUUGUCCGGAUUUAUUGGGCGUAAAGAGCGUGUAGGCGGCCACACAGGUCAGCUGUGAAAACUCGAGGCUCAACCUCGAGACGUCGGUUGAAACCGUAUGGCUAGAGUCCGGAAGAGGAGAGUGGAAUUCCCGGUGUAGCGGUGAAAUGCGCAGAUAUCGGGAAGAACACCUAUGGCGAAGGCAGCUCUCUGGGCCUUACCUGACGCUGAGGAGCGAAAGCGUGGGGAGCGAACAGG
rnacentral:rRNA from 1 species